GCCCUUGUAGCGCAGUGGCAGCGCAUCUCCCUCCUACCCUGGAGACAGGAGAAGGUCUUCGGUUCAACCCCGAACUUGGGUG